AUUUCGUAAGAUUAUGAGCGUUCCAAGAGUACACAACACUGUGUAUUCAAAUCGUAAGUAGGCCUGUUGGAUUUGUGGCAUGUUUGCGACUGCAGAAGACUCACCAUUGUUAUGACACACAUCUUCAUACAGAUCCUCCAGCUGAAGAAGACUGGGACCUGAGGACAACGGACAAAGGACUGGACCCACUGACCUGGAUUCUUGUUGGGGUUCCUGGUGUGCAGCUCGGUCCGUGGUUGCAGUGUCCCGGCGCAGCAGGACCAGAGGG